AUGCUUCUCUUGUAUGUUGACGAUAUUGUCAUCACCGCCUCUCGUGCGGACAUACUUGGCGACAUCAUCGGUCGUUUUGGUUUUGAGUUUCGGCUGAAGGACUUGGGCGCAUUGCACUUCUUCCUCGGCAUUAAUGUGCAACGUGAUGCCUCCAGAUUUUUUCUCCAUCAAGGACAGUAUGUUCUUGAUCUCCUGGAUCGUGCUGGUAUGACCGACUUCAAGCCUGUUGCCACCCCUGCCGAGGCCAAGCCGAAGCUUUCUGCCACUGCUGGGCAACCUGCUACCGAUGCCGCUCUCUACCGCGGUAUUGUUGGUGUUCUUCAGUACCUCACGCUCACCAGACCAGACAUUUAG
rnacentral:rRNA from 1 species